AUACGGAGGGUGCGAGCGUUAAUCGGAAUUACUGGGCGUAAAGCGCGCGUAGGCGGUUCGAUAAGUCUGAUGUGAAAGCCCUGGGCUUAACCUGGGAAUGGCAUUGGAUACUGUUGAACUAGAGUGCAGGAGAGGAGAGUGGAAUUCUCGGUGUAGCGGUGAAAUGCGUAGAUAUCGGGAGGAACACCAGUGGCGAAGGCGGCUCUCUGGACUGACACUGACGCUGAGGUGCGAAAGCGCGGGUAGCAAACAGGAUUAGAAACCCGUGUAGUCC
rnacentral:rRNA from 1 species